rnacentral:rRNA from 1 species
CCCUUAGAUGUUCUGGGCCGCACGCGCGCUACACUGACCAGUGCAACAAGCAUCCGUCCUUGGCCGACAGGCCCGGGCAAUCUUUGAACGCUGGUCGUGAUGGGGAUAGACUUUUGCAAUUUUUGGUCUUCAACGAGGAAUUCCUAGUAAACGCAAGUCAUCAACUUGCAUUGAUUACGUCCCUGCCCUUUGUACACACCGCCCGUCGCACCUACCGAUUGAAUGGUCCGGUGAAGCCUCCGGAUUGGCGCGCACCUCGGUGCCGCCGAGAAGUUGGCUAAACCUUACCAUUUAGAGGAAGGUGAAGUCGCAACA